UCCAUGCCGUAAACGAUGUCUACUAGCCGUUGGGGCCUUUGAGGCUUUAGUGGCGCAGCUAACGCGAUAAGUAGACCGCCUGGGGAGUACGGUCGCAAGACUAAAACUCAAAUGAAUUGACGGGGGCCCGCACAAGCGGUGGAGCAUGUGGUUUAAUUCGAUGCAACGCGAAGAACCUUACCUGGUCUUGACAUAGUAAGAACUUUCCAGAGAUGGAUUGGUGCCUUCGGGAACUUACAUACAGGUGCUGCAUGGCUGUCGUCAGCUCGUGUCGUGAGAUGUUGGGUUAAGUCCCGCAACGAGCGCAACCCUUUUCUAUUUGCCAGCGGGUUAAGCCGGGAACUUUAAGGAUACUGCCAGUGACAAACUGGAGGAAGGCGGGGACGACGUCAAGUCAUCAUGGCCCUUACGACCAGGGCUACACACGUGCUACAAUGGUCGGUACAAAGGGUUGCUACCUCGCGAGAGGAUGCUAAUCUAC
rnacentral:rRNA from 1 species